AUUGAACGCUGGCGGCAGGCCUAACACAUGCAAGUCGAACGAGUGGCGGACGGGUGAGUAAUGUCUGGGAAACUGCCCGAUGGUGGGGGAUAACUACUGGAAACGGUAGCUAAUACCGCAUACCAUCGGAUGUACCCAGAUGGGAUUAGCUAGUAGGUGGGGUAACGGCUCACCUAGGCGACGAUCCCUAGCUGGUCUGAGAGGAUGACCAGCCACACUAGAACUGAGAUACGGUCCAGACUCCGACGGGAGGCAGCAGUGGGGAAUAGUGCACAAUGGGAGGAAGCCUGAUGUAGCCAUGCCGCGUGUAUGAAGAAGGCCUUCGGGUUGUAAAGUACUUCCAGCGAGGAGGCGUUACUAGAAGAAGAAGCACCGGCUAACUCCGUGCCAGCAGCCGCGGUAAUAC
rnacentral:rRNA from 1 species